rnacentral:rRNA from 1 species
UUAACUGGAGAGUUUGAUUCUGGCUCAGAACGAACGCUGGCGGCGUGCCUAACACAUGCAAGUCGAACGGGAAUGUUUCCUUCGGGGAACUAGUACCGUGGCGCACGGGUGAGUAAUACGUAGGUGACCUGCCUUUCGCUGGGGAAUAACUCCGGGAAACCGGAGCUAAUACCGCAUACGCCCUACACUUCAUUGUGCCGGGGAAAGAUGGCCUCUCCAUGGAAGCUAUCGGCGAUAGAUGGGCCUGCGCACCAUUAGCUAGUUGGUAGGGUAAUGGCCUACCAAGGCUACGAUGGUUAGCUGGUCUGAGAGGAUGAUCAGCCACACUGGAACUGAGACACGGUCCAGACUCCUACGGGAGGCAGCAGUGGGGAAUAUUGCGCAAUGGGCGAAAGCCUGACGCAGCAACGCCGCGUGAGUGAUGAAGGCCUUC